CGCAGUAGGAUAGUGGAACCGGACGGUGGAGCGAUUCAGAUUCGGAACAGGAGGAAGAAGAACCGGCGAUAGAAGGAAUUAUUCGAAGAGAACAUUCGUGUGAAGUGUGCCGGAAAAGUUUUACCAGCAUUAAAAUCAUUCGCACUGUUCAAGUGGUUUCCCGAAUAGGGCACUGCUGAUGCGUCACCUGAAGCACCAAUGCGAGAAUCAAGACAAGAAAAUCUGCCCGUUCUGUAAUGAAAGAUUCAUGUGGCAAACUAGCAUGAAUAAGCACGCCCAGCAAAAGCACAAACCCAAGAAGCCUUUGCUGCAGCGAUCAGAUGACGAAUCGGAAGAAAAAAGUCAUCUGUCAAAUUUGCAACAAGAGUUUUCUUCGUCGGCAGCACCUGGAUCGCCACAUGAGCAUUCACAUUCCGGAUGAGAAGAAGUUCAAGUGCACAGAGUGCAGUAAGGCGUUCAACCGAAAGGACAAUCUGCGGACACAUGAAAAUACACUACCGCGAUCCUGCGGAUGCGAUACCGAAGCAGGACCCUGUGCGGGCGAGCUUUCUCCAAGUCUUCGAAUCUGACGGUGCACAUGCGAAGGCACACCGGAGAGCGGCUGCACAAGUGCGAUUUUUGCGAUAAAAGUUUUCCUCGUUCCUUGGAUUUGCAGUAUUAUCACAGGACACAUACUGGUGAAAAGCCGUGUAUUUGUAAGGUUUGUGGAGCAGGGUUCACGAGGUCACACAACUCAUUGUACACAUGAGGACUCAUACCGGAGACAUACCAUACAAGUGCACUUACUGCGAUCGGGAAAGGAAAUUCUCAGCAAGUCGAACCCAAAUCCGCCGGUAGCGCUAAUGAAAAAUACGUCUCAUUAAUUGGGCGCAACAGCAAAUACUACCACAACGUUACUCCAGUAUUCAGUAUUGUCGAAGAUCAGGAUGAAGAAGACCUGCCACCAUCAUCAAUGAAGGACUCAUCAGUAUGCAGGCUGGAACACCACAAAUUUUAGAAGACUGUAGUCACUCACACAUAAAAGGUCUGGACGUAAUUCGACUCUUCAAGUGCCAGGCUUCACCUCGGAUCUGCCUAUUAGAACACUUAGGGACACUUUUUACUUCGAACAAACCGAUUAAAUUAACUAUGACCGAACCGAAAGAAAACUUAUGGCAACAGAAAGGCCCACUACGUCAUUUGUUUGUGCAUUUCUUCUUCAUAUCCUCUUGUUUUUUCGGCUUAAUCAAAGAAAAAUGACAACCGCACUCACACACAGAAAAAAUGUGCACACCUGUAACCGUCUUGGUCUUGAAUUACCAGCAGCUGUCACUCUAUAGUCAUCACAUCGCAGUAGGAUAGUGGAACCGGACGGUGGAGCGAUUCAGAUUCGGAACAGGAGGAAGAAGAACCGGCGAUAGAAGGAAUUAUUCGAAGAGAACAUUCGUGUGAAGUGUGCCGGAAAAGUUUUACCAGCAUUAAAAUCAUUCGCACUGUUCAAGUGGUUUCCCGAAUAGGGCACUGCUGAUGCGUCACCUGAAGCACCAAUGCGAGAAUCAAGACAAGAAAAUCUGCCCGUUCUGUAAUGAAAGAUUCAUGUGGCAAACUAGCAUGAAUAAGCACGCCCAGCAAAAGCACAAACCCAAGAAGCCUUUGCUGCAGCGAUCAGAUGACGAAUCGGAAGAAAAAAGUCAUCUGUCAAAUUUGCAACAAGAGUUUUCUUCGUCGGCAGCACCUGGAUCGCCACAUGAGCAUUCACAUUCCGGAUGAGAAGAAAUUCAAGUGCACAGAGUGCAGUAAGGCGUUCAACCGAAAGGACAAUCUGCGGACACAUGAAAAUACACUACCGCGAUCCUGCGGAUGCGAUACCGAAGCAGGACCCUGUGCGGGCGAGCUUUCUCCAAGUCUUCGAAUCUGACGGUGCACAUGCGAAGGCACACCGGAGAGCGGCUGCACAAGUGCGAUUUUUGCGAUAAAAGUUUUCCUCGUUCCUUGGAUUUGCAGUAUUAUCACAGGACACAUACUGGUGAAAAGCCGUGUAUUUGUAAGGUUUGUGGAGCAGGGUUCACGAGGUCACACAACUCAUUGUACACAUGAGGACUCAUACCGGAGACAUACCAUACAAGUGCACUUACUGCGAUCGGGAAAGGAAAUUCUCAGCAAGUCGAACCCAAAUCCGCCGGUAGCGCUAAUGAAAAAUACGUCUCAUUAAUUGGGCGCAACAGCAAAUACUACCACAACGUUACUCCAGUAUUCAGUAUUGUCGAAGAUCAGGAUGAAGAAGACCUGCCACCAUCAUCAAUGAAGGACUCAUCAGUAUGCAGGCUGGAACACCACAAAUUUUAGAAGACUGUAGUCACUCACACAUAAAAGGUCUGGACGUAAUUCGACUCUUCAAGUGCCAGGCAGUUCCCCUAAAUAAUUAUCUUCUACUGCUAGUCACUGCUACACAUAUUAGAGUUCUGCCCGAAUUAAAGCAUAGAGCACGAAUCAUCGUCCGGCACCCAUUGCACAACUUUCGCUUCAAGGGUUAUCGUCCUCAUCGUCAUCAUAGCGGGCGUAUUUGCACCAGAGAACCUAACCUUGGGGUAUGCCAACGUUCCUUCGGAAAUAUGAUGAUAGGUGUUUGCGAAUCUAAACCAAGGGCUACUUCCUGCGAAGGCACAUCUUGUGUAACUGUUGUGAUUGAAGCUUAUAAUUUGGUAUAACACCAAUUUCAACCAGUGUAUUUUUUCGUCCGUUCAACUGUCGAAACUGGACAACAAAACUGCGCUUUCGGAGAUACAUAAGUUCACUGCCAUACAAUUGCUUGUUAGCAAAUUGUAUCAAUGCUCGGGGCAACCGCUGAUUUAUACAAAAAAAUUAGUGCUUGAUAUAUAUCAAGGUUGGCUAACGGUGCCUACCUUCUGCAAAAUUAUAAUUAUAUAAUAUAAUACAGCACACCGCAAAUAUUUAUUAGUACCUCGAAACCUACACCGUUUGUCCAAAUAAGAAAUAUUACGAAUAAUCAAAUUUUGUAUUUAUUUGCAGACUGACAGUUAUGAAGAACAUAAAGCAUUAAAAAGGUCAAAUAGGCCCUCCCGACCUCCUCAAUAGACCACUUCCACAUUCUGAGGUCACUUUCAAAGAUAACACUUAUGGUUAAUAAAGAUAUUUUACCCGAUUUAGACGAUACAUCAACUUCCGUCAACAGGACAGAA